rnacentral:rRNA from 1 species
AUACGGAGGGUGCGAGCGUUAAUCGGAAUUACUGGGCGUAAAGCGCGCGUAGGCGGUUUGUUAAGUCGGAUGUGAAAUCCCCGGGCUCAACCUGGGACCUGCAUCCGAUACUGGCAGGCUAGAGUCUGGUAGAGGGGGGUAGAAUUCCUGGUGUAGCGGUGAAAUGCGUAGAUAGCAGGAGGAAUACCAGUGGCGAAGGCGGCCCCCUGGACUGAGUCUGACGCUGAGGUGCGAAAGCGUGGGGAGCAAACAGGAGUAGAAACCCCAGUAGUCC